AGGUCAAACUAAAGGCGAGGAGGAGACGCGGCCGCCGCCGGGCCGGGGCCGGGGCCGGGCGGCUCCGCCGGACCCACCGGCCGAGCGAGGGCGGCGGCGGCGGCGGCGGCCGCCGGCGGGGGGCGGCGAGCGGGCUGGGCGAGGCGGCCCCUGCGGGCCCCGCGGCGGAGCGCGGCCGCAGCCGCCCGCCGGCCCUCACAGGAUUAGUCUGCAACUAAUACAGUUGUCCAAGUAAUUUGCAUCAUGAAAUUAUAAAAUUCUUGCAACAGUGGAGGAAGCAGGAAUCCCUCAGCUGGAAGACAGAGAGAACAGGACUACUCUUCUGCCACAGUGCUCUCGCCAUGUCCAAUGUAAACCAUCUUUAAAGUGUGCCAAUAGGCAGGCUCUGUGGUAUUGGAGGAUCUUCUGAAUCUUAUACUUACAGAUGCCUUUAAAAAGAAAGAGCUCAUUUUCUACAGACAGCUUUGUCAUCUUGGACCAGAUAUACUGGUUACCUUGAAAGAAGAAAAGGCAGAUUAUGGGCCCAAAUUAGGAAUUGGAACACUCUUCAGGAUAACAUGGAGGCAUGUCAUGUAGAGGUAGCUGUAAAAUAUUUACAGUGAUUUUGUUUUAGUAGCUUGUAAUUAAGUAUCUCCAAGAAUAUACUCCAGAUUAAAUAAUCUAUUUUCAGUGUAACUCUUUGCCAGAAAUGAGGCAAAAAUUCCUUUCCUGUAAGAGGCACCAAAAGAGAAAUGUAUAUAGCUGAAAUUAAAGUUAGAACUAUACUGUAGUCAGCAAUAUUUAGUUAUAUGUAAACCGAGUAAGUUUGUAUAAUCAAAAUUUCUUGAUAAAUCUGAAGGAGGAAUACUUUUAUAGGAACACAAGGGAUUGGGUUUUAUGAAAAAUUUGGUUUUAUACAUUGAGUAUUCACAUUCCUCUGAAGUUUGUAGUUCUAGUUGUUCAGGUUUCUCUUAUGGUCAAUGCUUUGAUGUAUCUAUCCUGCUAGAAAAGUUUAAAUUCUAAAGCAAAAAUAGCAGUGUGUGUUGCUAUAUAUCAUAUAGCAAUAUAAACUGCUAAAUGUCUGUACUAUGAGGAAAAGAAAUACAAGGGCGAUAAUACCGGUUCUUCCUUUUUCUGUUCUUGAUUGCAGGUUAACCUAUUGGUUGGGAUUUUUAUAAGAGUAAUUAAUUAUGAUAAGUUUUUAGUGUGGAAUAUGGAUUUUUUUUUUUGCAUGUUUAAAGCAAAAUGAUCUUGGAUUAGCCACUUCCUGCACACUGUGGUGUCUGUGGAGAUGACAGAUUACUGCAGAAUUUACCAAAUUACCUGAAAUAAAGAUUUAAUUUGUCUGAAUAA